AAUGAACGCUGGCGGUAUGCCUAACACAUGCAAGUCGAACGGCAGCACAGUAAGAGCUUGCUCUUACGGGUGGCGAGUGGCGGACGGGUGAGGAAUACAUCGGAAUCUACUUUUUCGUGGGGGAUAACGUAGGGAAACUUACGCUAAUACCGCAUACGACCUACGGGUGAAAGCAGGGGAUCUUCGGACCUUUCGCGAUUGAAUGAGCCGAUGUCGGAUUAGCUAGUUGGCUGGGUAAAGGCCCACCAAGGCGACGAUCCGUAGCUGGUCUGAGAGGAUGAUCAGCCACACUGGAACUGAGACACGGUCCAGACUCCUACGGGAGGCAGCAGUGGGGAAUCUUGGACAAUGGGCGAAAGCCUGAUCCAGCCAUACCGCGUGGGUGAAGAAGGCCUUCGGGUUGUAAAGCCCUUUUGUUGGGAAAGAAAAGCAGCAGGUUAAUCCCCCGCUGUUCUGACGGUACCCAAAGAAUAAGCACCGGCUAACUUCGUG
rnacentral:rRNA from 1 species